rnacentral:rRNA from 1 species
UGGGGAAUAUUGCACAAUGGGCGCAAGCCUGAUGCAGCCAUGCCGCGUGUAUGAAGAAGGCCUUCGGGUUGUAAAGUACUUUCAGCGAGGAGGAAGGCGGUAAGGUUAAUAACCUUAUCGAUUGACGUUACUCGCAGAAGAAGCACCGGCUAACUCCGUGCCAGCAGCCGCGGUAAUACGGAGGGUGCAAGCGUUAAUCGGAUUUACUGGGCGUAAAGCGCACGCAGGCGGUCUGUCAAGUCGGAUGUGAAAUCCCCGGGCUCAACCUGGGAACUGCAUUCGAAACUGGCAGGCUAGAGUCUUGUAGAGGGGGGUAGAAUUCCAGGUGUAGCGGUGAAAUGCGUAGAGAUCUGGAGGAAUACCGGUGGCGAAGGCGGCCCCCUGGACAAAGACUGACGCUCAGGUGCGAAAGCGUGGGGAGCAAACA